rnacentral:lncRNA from 1 species
ACAGGAGGAGCUAGGAGUAUUCGUGAGAGGAUUGUUGCACAUGCAUGGUAAACAAACAUGUAUGUUACAUACAUUCUGUGUUCACUUUGGAGUGGAGACAUUAAAAUGUAGUAAAAUUAGGCUCUACACGUCACAAUGUCAAAUAGAGGACACAGAUGCACCCUGAGCGCCCUCUAUGGGUUGGCCAGAACCAGCCUGUGGUUGGUGUUCCCUUAUGAGAAAGGAAUGCUGGUCAGUGGCUGCCAACCAACCCCGAAAAGGGGAAGGAAUUCAAUAGCGGUACCAGGGGAAAGAAACUUGUGGAAAAGGAGUUGGAGAAGUAGCGAAUAAAGAAAAUUACAAAUGGAAAAGACGUAGUAAAUGACAAUAUGGAAACUAAGGGUUGAGCAGUGUUCAGUGGUGGAACUGAGAGGAGCAGAUACGCUCAGUCCCGAUCUGGAAAGGCACAGGAGCAUUUCUCUGAGUGGGGUGUGUGUGUGAGGUGGGUGUCUGUCUGUCUGUGUGUCUCUCUGUGCAUGCAUACCCAGGCAGCAAAGCAUUCCUGCUUAUUACAUGACUCUGGUGUUAGCAAUGCCCCAGGACUGGAUUUUAAAGAAUGAGUUGAUGAAACACUAUAUUUUGGAAUACAAAUUGUGAAUCUAAU